rnacentral:rRNA from 1 species
CCUACGGGAGGCUGCAGUGAGGAAUAUUGGUCAAUGGGCGCUAGCCUGAACCAGCCAAGUAGCGUGAAGGAUGACUGUCCUAUGGGUUGUAAACUUCUUUUAUCAGGGAAUAAAGUGCAGUAUGUAUACUGCUUUGCAUGUACCUUAUGAAUAAGGAUCGGCUAACUCCGUGCCAGCAGCCGCGGUAAUACGGAGGAUCCGAGCGUUAUCCGGAUUUAUUGGGUUUAAAGGGGGCGUAGGCGGGUUGUUAAGUCAGUUGUGAAAGUUUGCGGCUCAACCGUAACAUUGCAGUUGAUACUGGCGGCCUGGAGUAGAGUAGAGGUAGGCGGAAGUCGUGGUGUAGCGGUGAAAUGCUUAGAUAUCGCGAAGAACUCCGAUUGCGAAGGCAGCCUGCUGGACUGUAACUGACGCUGAUGCUCGAAAGUGUGGGUAUCAAACAGGAUUAGAUACCCUUGUAGUC